rnacentral:rRNA from 1 species
AUUGAACGCUGGCGGCAUGCUUUACACAUGCAAGUCGAACGGCAACAGGCCGCAAGGUGCUGACGAGUGGCGAACGGGUGAGUAAUGCAUCGGAACGUGCCCAGUCGUGGGGGAUAACGCAGCGAAAGCUGUGCUAAUACCGCAUACGAUCUGUGGAUGAAAGCGGGGGACCGAAAGGCCUCGCGCGAUUGGAGCGGCCGAUGUCAGAUUAGGUAGUUGGUGGGGUAAAGGCUCACCAAGCCAACGGUCUGUAGCUGGUCUGAGAGGACGACCAGCCACACUGGGACUGAGACACGGCCCAGACUCCUACGGGAGGCAGCAGUGGGGAAUUUUGGACAAUGGGCGCAAGCCUGAUCCAGCAAUGCCGCGUGCAGGAAGAAGGCCUUCGGGUUGUAAACUGCUUUUGUACGGAGCGAAAAGGCUCUCUCUAAUACAGGGGGCUCAUGACGGUACCGUAAGAAUAAGCACCGGCUAACUACGUGCCAGCAGCCGCGGUAACAC